rnacentral:rRNA from 1 species
GUGUCAGCAGCCGCGGUAAGACGAACCGUCCAAACGUUAUUCGGAAUCACUGGGCUUAAAGGGUGCGUAGGCGGUUCGGAAAGUUGGGUGUGAAAGCCCUCGGCUCAACCGAGGAAUUGCGCCCAAAACUACCGGGCUGGAGGAAGAUAGAGGUGAGCGGAACUUAGGGUGGAGCGGUGAAAUGCGUUGAUAUCCUAAGGAACACCAGUAGCGAAAGCGGCUCACUAGGUCUUUUCUGACGCUGAGGCACGAAAGCUAGGGGAGCGAAGAGGAUUAGAUACCCUCGUAGUCCUAGCCCUAAACGAUGAGCACUGGUUUGGAGGGUCCUCCAUAGCCCUCCAGACGUAGCGAAAGUGUUAAGUGCUCCGCCUGGGGAGUAUGGUCGCAAGGCUGAA